rnacentral:rRNA from 1 species
GACGUAGGGUGCGAGCGUUGUCCGGAUUUAUUGGGCGUAAAGAGCUCGUAGGCGGCUCGUCGCGUCGACCGUGAAAACCCGCGGCUUAACUGCGGGCUUGCGGUUGAUACGGGCGGGCUAGAGUUCGGUAGGGGAGUGUGGAAUUCCUGGUGGAGCGGUGAAAUGCGCAGAUAUCAGGAGGAACACCCGUAGCGAAGGCGGCACUCUGGGCCGAUACUGACACUGAGGAGCGAAAGCGUGGGGAGCGAACAGG